AAUUAACAAUGUUAAAUCCUAAGCAAGAUACAAAUGUCAAUUUUAGAAUUAGAAGGGAAUUUAAUGCACAAAGGAAAGAUGUUAUUGCAUUUUAUCCCAUUUCUGAAUGUUAGCUUUAUAAAAAGCAUUUCUAUUAAAAUCAUACAUGCAGUUUUUCUAAUACUGAAGAUAUAAGCAGUAAAGUGAUCUGGUCAUUUUCUCCAAGGUUGAAUUCUUCCCCCUAUCAUUGAGAAAUAUAGCCCACAGUAUUUGGUGACAUUUUCUGAGUUUAUUUGCAUGAUAUUCAAUGUAAGUAAAUACCAACUUUUUAUUCUGUUGGUUUAUCCUACCUUAAUAUUUGUUAAAAUGCAUUCAUAAUUGAUUUAUUGUAAGGUCAGAAAAUGCUAGAAAAUUGUAUUUCUCUUAUAUGAACUACAAAAUUAGGAAAUUCUCUCAGGAAGACAUUAUAAAACAUAAUAGUUAUAAAAAGUCACCCACACUACAGAUAAAAGCAGCUAAGUAUAAUCGAUUACUAUUUUUUCCUACCUAAGAUAGAUCUGCUUUAACCAAGUCUUAUGAGACUAUGAUAUAUGAGAAUUCUGAUAUACCUGACAGAUAAGCUAGAGGUGGUUAUUUGCUUUAUGAAAUUAUUCGUAAUAGUUCACUUAUAAAAAGUAACUUCUGGCGCUUUUAACAUAAUUGAUUUAUACAUAACUUUUCAGAAAUAUAUGUACCAUGCACAAUUAUAUCUCCAUUUUAAUAAAUUUCUCUUUUUGUUUAAAACCAAGAUUUAAAAAUGUGUUCCCCAACUAUCCUGAGCUCAGAGCAUAAACCUUCCAGAGUGGAGCAUGUGAAAGACACAGUGCUGUAUUUUCCAUGAAUAUUGUUAAUGGCAGGAACUGAGAGGUAUCCAUGUGGCUGAGGCUAAAAAGCCCAAGCAGGGCUUUACCGGGCUAUCUUGAUCUUCACCACUGAGCCUGCUCUCAGAUGCACCUGUAGCUUUAUGAGAUUCAAAUUCAGUUCCAACUGGGCUUUGUCCAUUUCUCUGGCUUUAGCAGUCCUUUUGCAUGGGGUAAACUGGUUCUUGAUGAGUCUUGCACCCUCUAGGACCCCUUAUGUUGAAGGCAGCUCCAGGGACCUCUUAACACCCAUUCUUUACAUUCAUUCAUUCCAGUAGAGAGGGGCCUCGACAGACAAGCCACGCCCUAGAACUUCAGUCUCACUCCUGAUGCACAGAAACCAGAUAUGAGCAGAUGAAAUUUGCCUGGAAAUCUCAAGAGCCAUUAACUUCUCUGAAGUGGGGUCCAUCAUGAUAAGUCUGAACAUCGUAGUAAAGAUUGUCUCAUUCUUAUUCCUCAUGAUCUGAUGAUUGCAUAGCAGAAUAUAACCACUUAAUUCUGAAUUGUCAUGUUUUGUACAGAUGGUUUGCUUUCAAAUGAUAAGACUUAAUUGAUCAGCAUUCAUAAGUAACUGUGAGUAUUCGGCAACAUUAAUCAAUCUAACAUCAAUGCUUAAAAAUAAGCCCAGUGCAUUAUGUGGGAAUAAUUUUUCAUCUGAGGCUACCUAGUAAAGAAAUUGGUAGAGGAUCAGCCAAAGAGACCUCAGAGUAAUGGGACUCAAGUCAAAUUGUCUCAUGUUCAGGUUUACAGUAGCAUAUCAACUAACCAGGAAACUCUAUAAUUUUAUUAUCUUCUCUAUUUAUCACUAUAGAAUCAAUGUGUAUCCAGCUAUUGAAUCCUGUAAUAUAGGUCUACUGUUUAAAACUGCAGAUUUUAAGUAAAAUCCGUAAAAUCUAGUUUACACAAUAGAGUGGAAUUGAUCCUUCAUUUAGUCAUUUUCCAUCCUGUAAAGAAAACAAGGCUUAUUCUCAUCUUCUAAGCUGGAGAGGAAAAAUAUAGAGAAAAGAAGAAAAAGAAGCCCAAGGAAGAUAAUCAGGAGGGUGCCUAGAAGCAGAGAUGUUUAUAGCUAAAAGGGAUCUUGGAGACUCAUCUAGCACCUACCAACUCCCACCUCCAUGGCAUUACCAAUAAAGACACUGGGGCUAAGAAAGAU
rnacentral:lncRNA from 10 species